rnacentral:rRNA from 1 species
GACGAACGCUGGCGGCGUGCUUAACACAUGCAAGUCGAACGAAGUGGCGAACGGGUGAGUAACGCGUAAUCAACCUGCCCUUCAGAGGGGGACAACAGUUGGAAACGACUGCUAAUACCGCAUACUGAAGGUGGGGAUUGCGUUUGAUUAGCUAGGUGGAGGGGUAACGGCCCACAACGGCGAUGAUCAGUAGCCGGGCUGAGGGGAUGAACGGCCACAGUGGGAAUGGGACACCGGCCCGGAUCCUACGGGGAGCAACAGUGGGGAAACUUCCGAAAUUGACGAAAGUCUGACUGAGGAACGCCGGGUGAGUGAUGACGGCCUUCGGGUUGUAAAGCUCUGUUAAUCGGGACGCGGUACCGGAAUAGAAAGCCACGGCUAACUACGUGCCAGCAGCCGCGGUAAUAC